rnacentral:lncRNA from 1 species
GCGUGGUACCCCUAUCCUUAUCUCGGAACUUCUAACGAAUCUUGGCAAAAAUAAAUUUUACGCAGAUUUACUCGUCUGUCGACUACCGCGGAUAACCGAACAUAAUGUUUGCCUUAACCGGCGCAUUUAUAUUUACCUUCCUUAAAAUUCUAUGUACUUUUAUAAUUUCUUAUGGAAUUAGUGUUAUUUAUUUUUAUAUCUUACUCCGACUUCUUUUAUUUUUGCAACGUCUUAUUCCCAGAUACCUGCGUUUCGUUCUGCAGUUAACGUCAAGAAUUUAUAUGAUAAACUUGCAGGGAUUGGUUUGGUGAGAAAAUAUUUACGUCUAUAUCGAAUGUAACAACAGUCGACACCGAGUAUAUCAUCUGUAUCAUUUUCCGAAAGAAGACAAUCCACUUUAUAAAGAAUGAAUUUGAAAAGUUGGUAUUCUCUUCCUAAAAUAUUAUACCAGCGUCACUUUGAGAAGCAUAGAUGUCCGUGUCGAUCAUUAUUUACUCGAAAUCAUCAAACAAAGUCAUACAAAUAAUAUGAACAGAUGAAAAAGCAUGCUGUAUCGGCACAACCAACAAUUUUAUUACAAAAUAAACGAGAAAGAGAAGAUGUACAAGAAAGACAGCACGCUAUUAAAAACAGCUGACCAGAAAAGAAGGGCAAGAACAAGAACAACAACAUCUAUGCAACUACUACCGCUACUAACAAUGGCAAGAGGCGGACGAGGGAGAGAUAAAAUAAGAAUAAGAGGAAAAUGAAUUAUUUGUUAAUAUACCAAUCCUAGACUAUGCAUGAGUAUAGUUAAGACAACAAGAACUCAAUUGAACGGCUAGCAAUUCAGUCGCAGACAAACUGCGACGUUCAAAUUAAGGAAAGCCUAAGCAAACAUUCCGAGAAACAGAAUUGCAAAAUGAAAAUGCGCAGGUUCUUGUAUAUACUAAAUUACGACAAAGCAGGUUAGAUCUUUAAUUUCAUAGAUCCUUUUGCACGUUAAUUUCAGGUGAACUCCAAUUUCAUCUGUGUUGUUCGUAACCAUGGACUACAUAUGUAGCGGCACGAUACCAUUCGCACGAUGACACGAACUGUUUAUUCGCGACACAAUACUGUUUGUAUAUUGUUGCGGGAGAUGUUAUCUCCGGACACAAUAUUCGUACUACACCAUCGUUGAGAUGUGCCAUGAGUGUGUUUCUUUAUAAUUACAACUUUUGUUAUAAUAAACAAAUGCACAAGAUAUAUCGUCCAUGACAUAGUAUGACUGCGAACGAUAUUGUAUCAUAAUCGCGAAAUGAUUCAGUCGUAUUGUCGUAUCAAUAAUAUCGUAUCGUAAAAUAUCCUGUCCAUGGUUAAAAGUAAAUUAACACUAACCUUACCAGGCCCGGUCAAAUGACCGUUUUCAAAAUUAAGUAUAAAAUUGUACAUUCAUUCUUAUUUAUUUCGUUCGUCUAACUUUUGCAAACAUUCUAAUAUUAACACAAAUUAAGAAAUUAAUUGGUCAGAUAAUAUAAGAAUUUUCAUAACGUCAGAUGAACAAAAAGAUAACAAUGAAUGUGAAACUUUAGAUUAAACAUUGAAACCGGUCAUUUGACCGGAUCUUUUUAAAAGAUCGGACAUAAGUAAA